AUUGAACGCUGGCGGCAUGCUUUACACAUGCAAGUCGAACGGCAGCACGGGGGCAACCCUGGUGGCGAGUGGCGAACGGGUGAGUAACACAUCGGAACGUGCCCAGUUGUGGGGGAUAACCUAUCGAAAGGUAGGCUAAUACCGCAUGAGCUCGGCAAGAGGAAAGCGGGGGACUCAGCGAUGGGCCUCGCGCGACUGGAGCGGCCGAUGUCCGAUUAGCAGUUGGUGGGGUAAAGGCUUACCAAGGCGACGAUCGGUAGCUGGUCUGAGAGGAUGAUCAGCCACACUGGGACUGAGACACGGCCCAGACUCCUACGGGAGGCAGCAGUGGGGAAUUUUGGACAAUGGGGCAACCCUGAUCCAGCCAUGCCGCGUGAGUGAAGAAGGCCUGGUGUAAG
rnacentral:rRNA from 1 species